rnacentral:lncRNA from 1 species
CAUAAACAUCUUAUCUUUGCAUUCCGACCGCAGCCUAAGCGUGAUAAAGCCCUUCCGAGGGGGCUCUCCAUUCCUCCUCGUUUGAUAAGGCUGCAAACGCAACUCGGCUUGUUGGGAAUGGCUCUGGAUGCCUUUGUGCUUCCUAAAAGAGCAUAAAUAAUUAAAGUUUGGCAGGGAGGAAAAGCUUUCUUGCAGAACUGUAGUGGCAAUAAAUGAAAUGACUCAGAAUCUCUUCUCCAGUCGGUUUUUACGAGAGCUGCCAGACAGUGUCUGUUCACGUUCUCCAGAUACUAGGGGCGCCAUAACAAAGUUAAGGUCAAGUUAGUGUCUUAUCUUGGGUGGCACAAAAAUACCGCAUCUUCUCCAACCGGACCGGGUAUAUUUUUAAACCUGAAUGUUAUGCAAGUCGCCUUAAUUUCCACGGAGGGCUUUUGGAAAUGUCACUUGGACCCGAAUACUUGGCAAUUCCAGGCAACGGUUGCAGAUGUUUCAAGACGCCUAACGCCUUUGUGACCCGGUUUGUGCUCGUCUGUGUAAAAUCAUUUUUCAAGGAG